UUUUCGUAGGUGAACCUGCGAAAGGAUCAUUAUCGGCACAUCCCUAUUCUCGAAUGCAAACAGGCGUUCUGCCUUAGGGCGACGCCGCAGUUCCGAAAGCAUGCGUGGUGGACGGCUCGGUUCCCGCGUCGAUGAAGGACGUAGCGAGAUACGAAAGGUGUUGCGAAUUGCAAGAUUUCGCGAGUCAAUGACCAUCCGAAUGCAUCGCCGCCCUCCCUUCGCCUUCGGGCGGAGGGAGGACGCGUCGGCGACAUCGCCCCGCACCAGCGCUCUCCCACCACCGAGGGAGAGGCGGCCGUGGACGGAGCACCCGGCCGUCGGUCGGCGUGUCCGCUCCUGCUCGCACAGUCGCUCCGCGUGGCCUCCACAGACCCGCUGUCCGACUCGACCGAGAGAAUCGCUGCGAUGUCGUCGGCGAGGAAACCCGCUGAACUUAAGCAUAUCAUUAAGCGG
rnacentral:rRNA from 1 species